GGGAAACCUGGUGUGCUGCAGUCCAUGGGGUUGUAAAGAGUCAGAUAUGACUGAGCGACUUAACAACAACGGAUAGCACACGCUGUCAGCUUUGUGAGCCGUGCACUGCCACACGAUGACUGGCCUCUGCCUCCUCAACAGGACGGCAGCCAGGGAAGGCAGAUCAUCACAGAGUAUUGAGUAGAGUUCCCUGGGCUAUACAGAUGACUCUGCUGCUGCUGCUAAGUCGCUUCAGUCGUGUCCAACUCUGUGCGACCCCAGAGACGGCAGCCCACCAGGCUCCCCCAUCCCUGGGAUUCUCCAGGAGCAGGACUCAGUGUGGAGGGGAGACUCCAGUUACCUGAUGUUUUCAGAGCCCCAAGCUUCAGGAUAGGAGCCCGAGCAGCUGCCAUGAGGGGCGCAGUGUCUGGCGUGCAGUUUCCAGGGUACACUGUCCAGAGUGCAGUGCCCUCGGUGCUGGGCAUAGGAGACACCUAAAGAAGGCAACAUCAUGCCUUAGUUUUCAGCGGAGUCCAGUGGCAC
ensembl:lncRNA